UAAACACUUAGUAAUUUUUCUUUUCCUUAUCACCAAAUCACACUCACCUUUGAAUACCCUCACUUUCGCCAUCUGAUCAGAAAAAGGUUUCGCCCCUCACCUUCGCAAAUCACCUUCGAAUUAAUUCUUUAAAACCCUAACCCUAACACACCCACACACUCACACUCAUUCUCACCAUCACUCACCACCCCCACCACGCCCCUUUUCACACACACACACACCCAUAUCCGAGAGAAAGAGUGAACCAGAGGGAGGAGAGGAGGAGACAGAGAUGAGAGAGCGCGAUCGAGAGAAUAGAGAGUGAGAGGGGGUCACCGCCGCAACGUCGCUGCAGCCGACGCCAUUGCCGUCGCGGAGCAGGGAGCCCGGAGGGGAGAGAGAGAUGAUUUGCAUACGAGAUGGAAAGAGAGGAUGAAGAUGCGACGCAAGAGAGGAGGCUGUUCCGCCGUGCACUGUUGUCGCUCCUGGGGUCGAUUGAAGCCGCCGCCGCCGCAACUAGGGCUUGCCGUGCUCCUGGGGUCGAUCUCUGCGCUUCUCAUCAUUGUCUCUGUGCUCACGUCGUUGAUUAGAAGGGAGCUCGAAGAGUUAGGUGUGACACUUCCAAAGGAUGCAUUCGAACUGAUUUUUGUUUUCCUCCAAGAGUGGGACAAACUCCACUUUUCCACAAAAUUUCAGCUACGAGGCUGCUGGGCAUGUAAUUUUGGCAUUUCUUUUUCUGUGUGGUUAAUU